UACGGAGGGGGGCUAGCGUUGUUCGGAAUUACUGGGCGUAAAGAGCGCGCAGGCGGUCGUUCAAGUCGCGUGUGAAAGCCCCCCGGCUCAACUGGGGAGGGUCACGCGAUACUGAUCGACUCGAAGGCAGGAGAGGGAAGUGGAAUUCCCGGUGUAGUGGUGAAAAUGCGUAGAUAUCGGGAGGAACACCAGUGGCGAAGGCGACUUCCUGGCCUGUUCUUGACGCUGAGGCGCGAAAGCUAGGGGAGCAAACGGG
rnacentral:rRNA from 1 species